rnacentral:rRNA from 1 species
GACGAACGCUGGCGGCAUGCCUAACACAUGCAAGUCGAACGGAGAUUAUUUCGGUACUCUUAGUGGCGAACGGGUGAGUAACGCGUGGGCAACCUGCCCUCUAGAUGGGGACAACAUCCCGAAAGGGGUGCUAAUACCGAAUGUGACAGCAAUCUCGCAUGAGGAUGCUGUGAAAGAUGGCCUCUAUUUAUAAGCUAUCGCUAGAGGAUGGGCCUGCGUCUGAUUAGCUAGUUGGUGGGGUAACGGCCUACCAAGGCGAUGAUCAGUAGCCGGUCUGAGAGGAUGAACGGCCACAUUGGGACUGAGACACGGCCCAGACUCCUACGGGUGGCAGCAGUGGGGAAUCUUCCGCAAUGGGCGAAAGCCUGACGGAGCAAUGCCGCGUGAGUGAUGAAGGAAUUCGUUCCGUAAAGCUCUUUUGUUUAUGACGAAUGUGCAGAUUGUGAACAAUGAUCUGUAAUGACGGUAGUAAACGAAUAAGCCACGGCUAACUACGUG